UUUUUGUAAGACAAAUGAAACUUCUUUUAAACUAAAAAAAAGUUAUAAAAAAUGGUCAAUUGUUGUAAAUAAUACAAGUCAAUCAGUUUUACUGAAAAGAAAGUAAAAUUUUGAUAACAGUUUUACGCGGAAACCCAAAUUUUCAACUGAAGGAUUAACCAUUUACUUAAUGCACUUGAGGGUACUUACCGCUGAUCCAGGAGAGAUUUGGUCCAAUUCGUCCAUUAGCUUCAGACCAAUCUAUGUUAAAGUGUCCUGCUAUUAAUAUAUCACAAUUGUUUUCGCCAAUUUCUUCAAUAACAUCAUCAAAAAUAUCACAGAAUUCUGCCAGGAAAUAAAUCUGGCAUUUCUAAACGGCUGAUCCGAUCGGGAUAAAAUUUGGCUUGAGCGUAGCCAAGAAGUAUUCGAGUAUAAGUUUUGAAGAUGAACCCUGUAGAUGCCCCAGGGACGGCGCUGUGGCGGCUCAAGGUAUUAAUGAUGAAGUCCUGUCUUUCGAAAUUUCACCACUUCAUGCCAGAAUAC